GAAAGGCCCCUUCGGGGGUACUCGAGUGGCGAACGGGUGAGUAACACGUGGGCAAUCUGCCCUGCACUUCGGGAUAAGCCUGGGAAACUGGGUCUAAUACCGGAUAGGACCUUUAGGCGCAUGUCUUUAGGUGGAAAGCUUUUGCGGUGUGGGAUGGGCCCGCGGCCUAUCAGCUUGUUGGUGGGGUGAUGGCCUACCAAGGCGACGACGGGUAGCCGGCCUGAGAGGGUGUCCGGCCACACUGGGACUGAGAUACGGCCCAGACUCCUACGGGAGGCAGCAGUGGGGAAUAUUGCACAAUGGGCGCAAGCCUGAUGCAGCGACGCCGCGUGGGGGAUGACGGCCUUCGGGUUGUAAACCUCUUUCACCAUCGACGAAGGUCCGGGUUUUCUCGGAUUGACGGUAGGUGGAGAAGAAGCACCGGCCAACUACGUGCCAGCAGCCGCGGUAAUACGUAGGGUGCGAGCGUUGUCCGGAAUUACUGGGCGUAAAGAGCUCGUAGGUGGUUUGUCGCGUUGUUCGUGAAAUCUCACGGCUUAACUGUGAGCGUGCGGGCGAUACGGGCAGACUAGAGUACUGCAGGGGAGACUGGAAUUCCUGGUGUAGCGGUGGAAUGCGCAGAUAUCAGGAGGAACACCGGUGGCGAAGGCGGGUCUCUGGGCAGUAACUGACGCUGAGGAGCGAAAGCGUGGGGAGCGAACAGGAUUAGAUACCCUGGUAGUCCACGCCGUAACGGUGGGUACUAGGUGUGGGUUUCCUUCCUUGGGAUCCGUGCCGUAGCUACGCAUUAAGUACCCCGCCUGGGGAGUACGGCCGCAAGGCUAAAACUCAAGGAUUGACGGGGGCCCGCACAAGCGGCGGAGCAUGUGGAUAAUUCGAUGCAACGCGAGAACCUUACCUGGGUUUGACAUGCACAGGACGCGUCUAGAGAUAGCGUCUAGCUG
rnacentral:rRNA from 1 species